CAAACGACUCUCGGCAACGGAUAUCUCGGCUCACGCAUCGAUGAAGAACGUAGCAAAAUGCGAUACUUGGUGUGAAUUGCAGAAUCCCGUGAACCAUCGAGUUUUUGAACGCAAGUUGCGCCCGAAGCCUUUUGGUCGAGGGCACGUCUGCCUGGGCGUCACGC
rnacentral:rRNA from 1 species